UACGAAGGGUGCAAGCGUUACUCGGAAUUACUGGGCGUAAAGGGUGCGUAGGUGGUUUGUUAAGUCUGCUGUGAAAUCCCCGGGCUCAACCUGGGAAUGGCAGUGGAUACUGGCAAGCUAGAGUGCGGUAGAGGGUAGUGGAAUUCCCGGUGUAGCGGUGGAAUGCGUAGAGAUCCGGAAGAACACCGGUGGCGAAGGCGGCCUGCUGGGCAGUGGCUGACACUGAGGCGCGACAGCGUGGGGAGCAAACAGG
rnacentral:rRNA from 1 species